UUUGGUGAUGCAAUUUGGAAACGUGGAAGCUGAGAUUGAAUUCUUGGCUUCCCUCGUGAAAGCUGAUGGUUGGCUGAAAGGAGAUCACCUUGAUUUGGGGUUGUAUCUCAUGCGGAAGCGACAACAACAGUUGGAGGAAGUUGAAAUAGCUGACUGGACAACGACCGAUGUUUUUUUUAUGAAUCACAUAAGUACUUGCUUUUCGGAGAAUAAAAGGAAAAAA